UCUUAUCACAAACUUGCAGCCAUACCACCUGAUCUCAUCAGAUCUAACAAGUUAAACGUAGUCAGAUCCGGUCAAUACUUAGAUGAGUGAUUUCCGAGGUAAUUCAAGAAUGCAUUAGGAA
ensembl:rRNA 5S_rRNA 5S ribosomal RNA